UGGCUCUCGCAUCGAUGAAGAACGCAGCGAAAUGCGAUAAGUAAUGUGAAUUGCAGAAUUCAGUGAAUCAUCGAAUCUUUGAACGCACCUUGCGCCCCUUGGCUAUUCCGAGGGGCAUGCCUGUUUGAGUAUCAUGAACACCUCAACUCUCAUGGUUUGCCGUGAUGAGCUUGGACUCUGGGGGUUUUGCUGGCCUGCAGUCGGCUCCCCUCAAAUGAAUCAGCUUCCCAGUGUUUGGUGGCAUCAUGGGUGUGAUAAAUAUCUACGCUCGUGGUUGUCUGCCGGGUAACCUUUGGUGACAAAGGUUUGCUGGAGCUCACAGACGUCUCUCCUCAGUGAGGACAGCUUUUUGAACGUUCGAUCUCAAAUCAGGUAGGACUACCCGCUGA
rnacentral:misc_RNA from 1 species